CUGUGUGUGAUGAUUCAAGUUUACCGCCCCAGUCUGAUUUUUAAACUGACUGAUUGGUAAUGUCCUGACUGCCU